rnacentral:rRNA from 1 species
GGUUAAGUGACUAAGCGUACACGGUGGAUGCCUUGGCAGUCAGAGGCGAUGAAGGACGUAGUAACUUGCGAUAAGCGUAGAUGAGGCAGUAACAGCCACUUGAGUCUACGAUUUCCGAAUGGGGAAACCCACUGGCAUAAGCCAGUAUCAUUGAGUGAAUACAUAGCUCAAUGAAGCGAACCGGGAGAACUGAAACAUCUAAGUACCCCGAGGAAAAGAAAUCAACCGAGAUUCCGAAAGUAGCGGCGAGCGAAAUUGGAUUAGCCCUUAAGCUUUACAUGUGUUAGACGAACGGUCUGGAAAGUCCGACGAUACAGGGUGAUAGUCCCGUAGUUGUAGAUGCAUGUUCAGUGAAAUCGAGUAGGGCGGGACACGUGUUAUCCUGUCUGAAUAUGGGGGGACCAUCCUCCAAGG